AGAUAUUUUUUUAGUUAAAUACCUAAUUAUACUUUAUUUCAUAGGGUACUCUGGCCAAUAUCCCUUACUUUUUCUCGUUGAAAACUACUCACUGAUCACUUCAUCCUAUCUUUUACACUUCCACCCAAAUAGCUAACUAAUCUUAACCAACUCCUUCCCAUUAAUCUAUGUAAUUUGAAAAAAAAGUUGGACAAAAUUUCUUUUAAAAACAUUUGGAAAACUUCAACAUUCUUAAUAUAAGAAUGAAAA
rnacentral:lncRNA from 1 species